rnacentral:rRNA from 1 species
UUGGCUCAGGUGAACGCUGGCGGCACGCUUAACACAUGCAAGUCGAACGGGGUUAUUCGGAGCUUGCUUUGAAUAACUUAGUGGCGGACGGGUGAGUAACACGUGAGCAAUCUGCCCUUAAGAGGGGGAUAGCAGUUGGAAACGACUGAUAAUACCGCAUAAGAUAGUAGUAUCGCAUGAUACAGCUAUAAAAGAUUUAUCGCUUAAGGAUGAGCUCGCGUCUGAUUAGCUGGUUGGUGAGGUAACGGCUCACCAAGGCAACGAUCAGUAGCCGGACUGAGAGGUUGGACGGCCACAUUGGGACUGAGACACGGCCCAGACUCCUACGGGAGGCAGCAGUGGGGAAUA